UUUCCGUAGGUGAACCUGCGGAAGGAUCAUUAUCGAGUUAGGGUCUCUGGCCCGACCUCCAACCCUGUGUCUACUAUACCAUGUUGCUUUGGCGGGCCCGCGUUCGUCGCCGCCGAGGGGUUGACCCCCCUGGGCCAGUGCCCGCCGAGAGCCCCCUCCUAAACUCUUGAACAACCGUGAAUGUCUGAGUAAAAAAAAAUAAAAGCAAAAACUGUUAACAAAGGAGCACUUGGUUUUGGCAUCGAUGAAGAAACCAGCAGAUCGGAAGGACACCCGGCG
rnacentral:misc_RNA from 1 species